rnacentral:sRNA from 1 species
AUUCUUCCUGUCAUUGUUAUUUGCAUGCUGCUUGGUUUUAUAAAAUUAGCCAAUAUUAUCCAAGUUGUGAAAUUUCUAAUUCUUAUUUUAUAUUUGCUCAAGAAUCUUAAGAAGAAGGUAUUUGAAAAGGAGGCCCAUAUCCAAGAACUUUCUUGUUUGUUUCAGAGUGAAAAGGCAAAUACUUUGAAAGCAAACCGUUUUUCCCAAUCAGUAAAAGUAGUACAUGAACGACUACAGAUCCAAAUUCAUAAAAAGGAAGCCGAGAAUGAUAAGUUGAAAGAAUAUGUAAAGAGCUUAGAAACCGAGAUAGCCAAGUGGAACCUGCAAUCGAGAAUGAAUAAGAAUGAGGCUAUAGUGAUGAAAGAAGCAAGUAGGCAAAAAACUGUAGCUUUAAAAAAGGCAUCUAAAGUUUACAAACAAAGGCUUGACCAUUUUACAGGAGCUAUUGAAAAGCUUACUUCCCAAAUUAGAGAUCAGGAAGCCAAGUUGUCUGAAACAAUUUCAGCUUCCAAUGCCUGGAAAAGUCAUUAUGAGAAAAUUGUAAUAGAAAAAACUGAAUUGGAAGUACAGAUUGAAACAAUGAAAAAGCAAAUCGUUAAUCUUUUGGACGAUCUGAAGAAAAUGGAAGACCAUGGAAAAAAUUCAUGUGAAGAAAUUCUUAGAAAAGUUCACUCAAUUGAAUAUG